rnacentral:rRNA from 1 species
AUUGAACGCUGGCGGCAGGCUUAACACAUGCAAGUCGAGCGGGGAAAGGUAGCUUGCUACCUGACCUAGCGGCGGACGGGUGAGUAAUGCUUAGGAAUCUGCCUAUUAGUGGGGGACAACAUCUCGAAAGGGAUGCUAAUACCGCAUACGUCCUACGGGAGAAAGCAGGGGACCUUCGGGCCUUGCGCUAAUAGAUGAGCCUAAGUCGGAUUAGCUAGUUGGUGGGGUAAAGGCCUACCAAGGCGACGAUCUGUAGCGGGUCUGAGAGGAUGAUCCGCCACACUGGGACUGAGACACGGCCCAGACUCCUACGGGAGGCAGCAGUGGGGAAUAUUGGACAAUGGGGGGAACCCUGAUCCAGCCAUGCCGCGUGUGUGAAGAAGGCCUUUUGGUUGUAAAGCACUUUAAGCGAGGAGGAGGCUACCGAGAUUAAUACUCUUGGAUAGUGGAC